CGGACGGGUGAGUAAUGUCUGGGAAACUGCCUGAUGGAGGGGGAUAACUACUGGAAACGGUAGCUAAUACCGCAUAAUGUCGCAAGACCAAAGUGGGGGACCUUCGGGCCUCAUGCCAUCAGAUGUGCCCAGAUGGGAUUAGCUAGUAGGUGGGGUAACGGCUCACCUAGGCGACGAUCCCUAGCUGGUCUGAGAGGAUGACCAGCCACACUGGAACUGAGACACGGUCCAGACUCCUACGGGAGGCAGCAGUGGGGAAUAUUGCACAAUGGGCGCAAGCCUGAUGCAGCCAUGCCGCGUGUGUGAAGAAGGCCUUCGGGUUGUAAAGCACUUUCAGCGGGGAGGAAGGCGGUAAGGUUAAUAACCUUGGCGAUUGACGUUACCCGCAGAAGAAGCACCGGCUAACUCCGUGCCAGCAGCCGCGGUAAUACGGAGGGUGCAAGCGUU
rnacentral:rRNA from 1 species